CAGCAGCCGCGGUAACACGGAGGGUGCAAGCGUUAAUCGGAAUUACUGGGCGUAAAGCGCACGCAGGCGGUUUGUUAAGUCAGAUGUGAAAUCCCCGGGCUCAACCUGGGAACUGCAUUUGAAACUGGCAAGCUAGAGUCUCGUAGAGGGGGGUAGAAUUCCAGGUGUAGCGGUGAAAUGCGUAGAGAUCUGGAGGAAUACCGGUGGCGAAGGCGGCCCCCUGGACGAAGACUGACGCUCAGGUGCGAAAGCGUGGGGAGCAAACAGGAUUAGAUACCCCUGUAGUCCCUGUCUCUUAUAC
rnacentral:rRNA from 1 species